UGUGGGCAGGGAGGAGGGAAACAGGUGGCCAGGGUGGCUGCCCAUUUCUGACCAGGUCUGGAAGAAGCUGUCCCUGCAGGAGGUCCUGAGCUGAGGACCAGGAGCCAAGAGCACGGCCUGUCACACAUGGAGGCCAAGGCAAGAAGGAGAGGCGGAUGCAUCCUGCCCUGCUCCGGUGUCUGCUCAGCCACGAGCUGCCACCUGCCCCAGGACCUUCAGAGGGUCAUGAUCUCUUGGGAAAAAUCUAAGAAUGAAAACACAAAAGAAAAGGCAACAUCCUGAUGGUAUCAUUUGAAGCCCUGGAUCCAGCCAUACCUGAAGCCAUCCCUUGAGUUUUCCAGUUGCCUGAACCAAUAAGCCCUCUCUAGUCUAAGCAAAUUUGAUUUAGUUUCUGUCAUAUGAAACCAAAUGAAUUCUGACUAAUAUAACCAGAGGUGUCAUAAGAAUGGGAAAGUCGCCCCCCACACAC